CGGGACCUUCCGAAACACCACAGAGAGCCCUCACGAGCGCGCAGUGAUGACGCAACACGCAGCCCAGGCUUUUUCCUUCCCUGGCGCCGCGCGAGCAAAAAAUGUCCUGGCGCGCGCCGUUGUCAUGACUUCAAGCUUCAUGACAGCCUAUUUGGAGCAUUCUUGGAAAUGUGUCCUCUAGGCACACUUCAGGACUGACUGAUCGGCUCAGCCUGAGACGCACCAAGCAGAGGGAGAUGAAAUGAUAUGGCAAGGUAUCUAAAACCAUGAAUAUGUCCUAUCAUCUUUAAACAGAUAUGUACCAUUAUGUGUUUAAGAACCGUACUCAGAGCUGAAAGGCAGCUUUAAAG